GCAUUCUUACUCAAAAUUUAAAUUUUUAAYUUAUAAUAAGGAUUGGCUCAAUUUCAUUCAUUCCUUCAUUCAAGUCUUUCAAUUAAAAGACAAUUGAUUAUGCUACCUUUGUACAGUCAAAGUACUGCAGCUAUUUAAUUAAAAAAUUAAUCAUGGAGCAGANNNAAUUUUUAAA
rnacentral:rRNA from 1 species